UACGGGGGGGGCAAGCGUUGUUCGGAAUUACUGGGCGUAAAGGGCUCGUAGGCGGCCAACUAAGUCAGACGUGAAAUCCCUCGGCUUAACCGGGGAACUGCGUCUGAUACUGGAUGGCUUGAGUUUGGGAGAGGGACGCGGAAUUCCAGGUGUAGCGGUGAAAUGCGUAGAUAUCGUAAGGAAGACCAGUGGCGAAGGCGGGUCUCUGGACAGUUCCUGACGCUGAGGCACGAAGGUCAGGGGAGCAAACGGG
rnacentral:rRNA from 1 species